rnacentral:rRNA from 1 species
AAAGCUCAAAUUUAAAAUCUGGCAGUCUCUUUGGCUGUCUGAGUUGUAAAUUAGAGAAGUGCUAUCCGCGCUGGCCUGUGCAUAAGUCUCUUGGAAAAGGGCAUCAUAGAGGGUGACAAUCCCGUCUUUGGCACAGAUUCCCAGGGCUUUUGUGAUGCGCUCUCGAUGAGUCGAGUUGUUUGGGAAUGCAGCUCCAAAUGGGUGGUAAAUUCCAUCUAAAGCUAAAUAUUGGCGAGAGACCGAUAGCGAA